AGGGACCGUGUCCCACCUGAUCAUCUUGAAUCCACCAGUGCUCGAUACAUAGUAAGCAGUUAAUAUAGAUCAUCGUUCUACCUCAUUUUGCUGAACACAAAGGAGAGGAGUAAAAAGAUGAGGAGACAGCGGAACGGGGCCGGGGGGAGGUGUGUGGUUUGUUUGGGAAGAAACAUCGGGCUUGAAGAAUUCCACAACUGCGGAAGGGGCAGUGCCAAGUUAAAAAAAAAAAAAUAGGAAAGUUGGUGGGGUUGGGAGGAACGGGAAAGGAGCAAAGAUAUACUUACUUCAUCUAGGGUAACAUCACGACCAGAGUUCGUCCCCAUUCACUCAGUAAGCCAUUCUUUAAAAUGUUAUAGAUGGUUUUAUUACAAAACUGUAAAAUACUGCUUAAAACAGAGCUUGGUAACAUACUUCAUCAUAGAAGAGGAAUAUGGGUUGUUUAUUCAAACUAUUGCACGAUAUAUAUUUCGUAUUGUCCACUGAAGUGUGGCAAUAAGAACAAUCUUUUAUGUUUUUGGCUUAGGAGAAGUUCUUCAGAGCAGUCAACAUUCCAAGAGAAAAUCUUCUUCAGGUUAGAGUUCGUCCCUGGCCUGUAAUACGAAGAACAACAUUGAGACUUGGAACCCAGUUCCCCAUUACUGUUUCCCAGCUAUUUCUCUACAAUAGAAUAAGGAGAUGGAGAACAAGGUGAGAAGAGGUCGGGUUACCCUGGUUAUUGCUAAAGGAAACAUCUACUUGAAUAUUGAGAGAGUGAAGUGGUCUUGUGGGAAGCUCAUGGGCCCCAGUCAGGAAUCCUGGGUUCUAAUUCCGGCUCCAUGACUCGCCUGCUGUGUGGCCUAGGACUAGUCACUUAACUUCACCGUCCAUCUCUUUCCUUAUCUAUAGAAUAGGGACUGUUCUCACUUCUCAGAUUGUGAGCCCCAUGGGGGACAAGGACCACAUCUGAGUGGUUACAUUUCAAUCUACCCCAGCACUUAGGUAGUAGUUAAGAAAUACCCAAUCGUUAUUACCAUCCAUCUGUCUAGCUUUGGAUAGCACAACUCCAACUCUGUUUCUUUUCCUCAAUAAGAGCCAUUGAUGUCUGGCCCUUAUAGUGAGAGUGCUCUGGGGACCUAAUUAAAAACGCAUAUUCUCAUUUCUGUGCUUGAUAGGAAAUCAAAGAUUCAGGAAUAAUGCCUCUGUGUGGAUAUUAGUAAAUGAAAAACUUCUGCACUGGAGUGAAGGGAAAUUCUUGGCCAGAGGCAGAAUAGCACUAUUGCCAUCCAGUCGCUUCUGCAGGGUCUGUGAAAUCUAGUUUGCUUUAUCAGUCAAUCUUUAGAAAUUGGGUUUUCAGGUAUUCCAAAUGUGAUCUAAAACAUAAAGUAGACCAAAACAGGUCACCUUUGAUUGCAGGUACGUGGAAGUCUUUAUGAGGUGGGAUUUCUGAUCAAGACAGUGGUUUUGAAGUUCUUUUGAUUUUUUUCCUCACAUUAAAAAAAUGGUUAGCCUUUG